GCACUUUUUGCUUUUCUGGAGGUGGAGUUCUGAGAAAAAGUGAAAAGAGUAGGUUCCACUUAAGUCACCUGAGCACAGCUAAGCUUUCAAGUUUGAGGUCCCUCAGAUUCCAAGGGAAUUUUAGCAAUCUAUUUCUGCUCUGCCAUUUGUCUGAACGUCGGCACUUUUUUCAGAGCCGGGCAAGUUUGAGGUCCCUCUUGAUCCAUUGCACUUCAGUACCUAUUUCUGCUCUGCCAUUCGCUGAAACUCAGCACUUUUAACACAGCCCACAUAUACCAAGCAUUCAAUCAUG
rnacentral:misc_RNA from 1 species